AGCGUGAGAGAUGAAAACUUGCCCUUAGGUAAGCUCCUAUUUGAGCUGUUUUGGUUCAAAAUUUUGGGCUUACCAAUGGUAGGACUUGUCAUAGUUACACUGACACGCU
ensembl:snoRNA